GAAAUGCGAUAAGUAAUGUGAAUUGCAGAAUUCAGUGAAUCAUCGAAUCUUUGAACGCACAUUGCGCCCGCCAGCACUCUGGCGGGCAUGCCUGUUCGAGCGUCAUUUCAACCCUCAGAACCCCUUGCGGGAUCUGGCGUUGGGGAUUGGCAUCCAGCCAGCCCCGAAAUCUAAUGGCGGUCCCUCCGCGACCUCCCCUGUGCAGUAGCGAUACCUCGCAGCGGGACAGCGGUCUGACCACGCCGUAAAACCCCCAACUUCUCAAGGUUGACCUCGAAUCAGGUAGGAAUACCCGCUGAACUUAAGC
rnacentral:misc_RNA from 1 species